rnacentral:rRNA from 1 species
UACAGAGGUCCCGAGCGUUGUUCGGAUUCACUGGGCGUAAAGGGUGCGUAGGUGGUGAGGUAAGUCGGAUGUGAAAUCUCCGAGCUCAACUCGGAAAUGGCAUUGGAAACUACCUUGCUUGAGGGUUGGAGGGGGGACUGGAAUACUUGGUGUAGCGGUGAAAUGCGUAGAUAUCAGGAGGAACACCUGUGGUGUAGACAGCUUACUGGACCACUUCUGACGCUGAGACACGAAAGCGUGGGUAGCAAACGGG